rnacentral:rRNA from 1 species
ACGGAAGGCAGCAGUGGGGAAUAUUGGACAAUGGGGGAAACCCUGAUCCAGCGACGCCGCGUGAGUGAAGAAGUAUUUCGGUAUGUAAAGCUCUAUCAGCAAGGAAGAAAAUGACGGUACUUGACUAAGAAGCCCCGGCUAACUACGUGCCAGCAGCCGCGGUAAUACGCAGGGGGCAAGCGUUAUCCGGAUUUACUGGGUGUAAAGGGAGCGUAGACGGCAUAGCAAGUCUGAAGUGAAAUGCAUGGGCUCAACCCAUGAACUGCUUUGGAAACUGUUAAGCUAGAGUGCAGGAGAGGUAAGUGGAAUUCCUAGUGUAGCGGUGAAAUGCGUAGAUAUUAGGAGGAACACCAGUGGCGAAGGCGGCUUACUGGACUGUAACUGACGUUGAGGCUCGAAAGCGUGGGGAGCAAACAGGAUUAGAUACCCUGGUA